AUAUUCUGGUUUUCUUCAGACUGUAUAAAUCUUUUGCCUUUUACUAAAGAUUUCUGUAGAGAGGAGUGUUUAUGAGUUUCUAUUCAAUUUUUUGAGGCUUCACUUCAGUGGGGCU